rnacentral:rRNA from 1 species
CCUACGGGAGGCAGCAGUGGGGAAUAUUGGACAAUGGGGGGAACCCUGAUCCAGCCAUGCCGCGUGUGUGAAGAAGGCCCUCGGGUUGUAAAGCACUUUCAGUGAGGAAGAACGCCUGGUGGUUAAUACCCAUCAGGAAAGACAUCACUCACAGAAGAAGCACCGGCUAACUCCGUGCCAGCAGCCGCGGUAAUACGGAGGGUGCGAGCGUUAAUCGGAAUUACUGGGCGUAAAGCGCGCGUAGGUGGCUUGAUAAGCCGGUUGUGAAAGCCCAGGGCUCAACCUGGGAACGGCAUCCGGAACUGUCAAGCUAGAGUGCAGGAGAGGAAGGUAGAAUUCCCGGUGUAGCGGUGAAAUGCGUAGAGAUCGGGAGGAAUACCAGUGGCGAAGGCGGCCUUCUGGACUGACACUGACACUGAGGUGCGAAAGCGUGGGUAGCAAACAGGAUUAGAUAACCCAGUAGUC